GGAAAACUCACCAGGUCCAGACAUAGUAAGGAUUGACAGAUUGAUAGAUCUUUCUUGAUUCUAUGGGUGGUGGUGCAUGGCCGUUCUUAGUUGGUGGAGUGAUUUGUCUGCUUAAUUGCGUUAACGAACGAGACCUUCACAUGCUAAAUAGCGAAACGAAUCUUCGGAUUUGUAUUCGACUUCUUAGAUGGACUUUAGGCUUUUAAGCUUAAGGAAGCAGGAGGCAAUAA
rnacentral:rRNA from 1 species